rnacentral:lncRNA from 1 species
GUGUCUCGUGGCUUUCGUUGUCUGGUGCCUCAAAGAAAACACCAGAAAGAUUGUUUCUAAGCUAGAGCCACCCCAGAUUGCUUAAAGUGCAAAGCUCACUGCUGUUGGGGGUACCCUUGUGAGACACUGGAAAGCUGGUUUUACCGUGGCCCUAUGAAGAGGAAGACUGAAAUUUAGACAGUAAUACCUUUACUAGGAUUGGAAAAGAUUUGGUUAAUGACAGCCCUGUCAUUUCUAAAACCCAUUAUCACUGUAUGAGAGAUUCCUUUGCGCUGCAUCCUCGACAGUGCUUCCUAAGGCUCUGCCGACUUCCAGUUCUGGAACAAGAUGGUUAAACUCAUUUUUCCCUGCUCUGCUCCUCUAAAUACAACUAAGUACCUUGGAAACUAUUCAGCAGACAAUGAUAAAGGGCUCUGAAAGCUAGAAGAAAAGGUGUACUUGCAAGAAACCUCAGGACUUGAGUAACAGCAACAUGGCAGGCCAGAAAGCAGACCCAGGGAGGAUAGCACAUGUCUUCGGCUACACUGGUGAAGGCAUCGUGCCUGCUCCACAGCACAUUUUUAUUCAAGGAAAGGAGAAAGAGACUACCUACUGCAUUUCUGUCACUCGCUGAAAAGGACACUCUGUCAGAAAAUCUUCUAGCAAACUUCAAAGGGCAAAAUCACCCCUUGUUACUGAUAAAGCCCAGAGAGCUUCAGCAGCUAACAUUCCCUGGACAGGGCACAGCAAGGAUUUGAACCUAGGUCAGUCUGGCCAGAACACCCACAAGCUUUCCUUAACUCAGUGUGCUAUCUCCCCACGACUAGGUCACUACUGCUUUAUAAUCACCUUUGUAGCCACCAGUGGAUUUUGCUCAUCAGUAUUUUUCAGGCAAUUGAUACUUUAGAUAUUCAGCUGCAAGACGUAUGCAGUUUUCAUUGACAUCUUUUGGAGAAACUGACAAACCUGGACUUGACUUAAUGCCUUUGGAACCUUCCAAGAUGUUAUAUAACUCUAGAUAGAAGGCUGGGCCUCCAUGAUGUCAGGAAUGUUGCAUUCUUAUUUCCCCAUAGAUAAACCCAUUUGUCCACAAAGUCAAGGAGUCAGGCAGAGGCCCUUGCCAUGGGGCUUUUUAGGAUAAAGCAACAAGCCUGGACUUUGCUCUACAACAGGGUUUUGCAUAGGGAGUGGUAUGACCAGAUCCCUCAAGAAAGAAAGCUUAGAGACCAGGCCAGAGUCCACUGCAGUAGCCCAGUCAAGAGAGGAUGGUGACUUGGACUUGUAGUAGAGCCAGUUAGAAUGAAAGAAAUUGACACAUUCAGAAAUGGUUUUAGAGAUAGAGUCAAACUGGACCUGAUAAAGAACUAGAGAAGCGGAGUGAGGAUAAAGAGAAGAGCCAUGACUGACUCGGAAGAUUUUGUCUUGAAAAACUUGAGAACUCAAGACAGAGUGAAAUAAAAUCACAUGUGGGAAAAA